CUGGCGGCGUGCUUAACACAUGCAAGUCGAGUGCGCGGUGCCGUAGCAAUACGGUACUGGCGCACGGCGCACGGGUGCGUAACACGUGGGUAACCUGCCCUUUGAUGGGGAAUAACCCCGCGAAAGCGGGGCUAAUUCCGCAUAAGAUCCGCAAGGAUGAAAGCCGUAAGGCGUCGAAGGAGGGGCCCGCGCACGAUUUAGCUAGUUGGUAGGGUAAUGGCCUACCAAGGCUAUGAUCGUUAGCUGGUCUGAGAGGAUGGCCAGCCACACUGGAACUGAGACACGGUCCAGACUCCUACGGGAGGCAGCAGUGGGGAAUCUUGCACAAUGGGCGAAAGCCUGAUGCAGCGACGCCGCGUGGGGGAUGAAGCUUCUCGGAGUGUAAACCCCUUUCGACCCGGACGAAUACCUCGCAAGAGGGGUGACGGUACGGGUAUAAGAAGCCCCGGCUAACUACGUGCCAGCAGCGGC
rnacentral:rRNA from 1 species